UUCCGGUUGAUCCUGCCGGACCUUACUGCUAUCGGGGUGGGACUAAGACAUGCGAGUCGAGCGUCUCUAGCUAUGUUGAGGCGCGGCAGACGGCUCAGUAACACGUGGCUAACCUACCCUCAGGACGAGGAUAAACCCGGGAAACUGGGGCUAAUACUCGAUAGGUGAGAAUGUCUGGAAUGAUUUCUCACUCAAAGGGCCUUGGGAACAUGCUUCCAAUGUCGCCUGGGGAUGGGGCCGCGUCCGAUCAGGUUGUUGGUGAGGUAAUGGCUCACCAAGCCUAUAACCGGUACGGGCCGUGAGAGCGGUAGCCCGGAGAUGGGUACUGAGACAAGGACCCAGGCCCUACGGGGCGCAGCAGUCGCGAAAACUCCGCAAUGCACGAAAGUGUGACGGGGCUACCCCGAGUGCCAUCCGCUGAGGAUGGCUUUUCCUUGGUAUAACUAGCCGAGGGAAUAAGGAGAGGGCAAGACUGGUGUCAGCCGCCGCGGUAAUACCAGCUCUCCGAGUGGUAGGGAUGAUUAUUGGGCUUAAAGCGUCCGUAGCCGGCUUAGCAAGUCUCCUGUUAAAUUCAGCGACCUAAUCGUUGAGCCGCGGGAGAUACUACUAUGCUAGGAGGCGGGAGAGGUCGACGGUACUUCUGGGGUAGGGGUGAAAUCCUAUAAUCCCGGGAGGACCACCAGUGGCGAAGGCUGUCGACUAGAACGCGCUCGACGGUGAGGGACGAAAGCUGGGGGAGCGAACCGGAUUAGAUACCCGGGUAGUCCCAGCCGUAAACGAUGCGGGCUAGGUGUUGGAAUGGCUACGUGCCAUUUCAGUGCCGCAGGGAAGCCAUUAAGCCCGCCGCCUGGGGAGUACGGCCGCAAGGCUGAAACUUAAAGGAAUUGGCGGGGG
rnacentral:rRNA from 1 species